rnacentral:rRNA from 1 species
CUACGGGCGCUCCAGUAGGGAAUAUUGCGCAAUGGGCGAAAGCCUGACGCAGCAAUACCGCGUGAGUGAGGAAGGAUUUCGGUUCGUAAAACUCUGUCAGAGUGGAAAAAUGGCAUAUUGUCCAAUAGGCAUUAUGUUUGAUGGUACACUCAAAGGAAGCACCGGCUAACUUCGUGCCAGCAGCCGCGGUAAUACGAAGGGUGCGAGCGUUGUUCGGAUUUAUUGGGCGUAAAGAGCGCGUAGGCGGAUUGAUAAGUCAGGUGUGAAAUCUCGGGGCUCAACCUCGAAACUGCGCCUGAACUGUUAAUCUAGAAUCUUAUAGAGGGAAAGGGAAUUUCGCAUGUAGGAGUAAAAUCCGUAGAGAUGCGAAGGAACACCAGAGGCGAAGGCGCUUUCCUGGAGAAGUAUUGACGCUGAGGCGCGAAAGCGUGGGGAGCAAACAGGAUUAGAUACCCUGGUAGUC